CGGAUACACAACCAUGGUAACGGGGACUUGUUUACGCACAAACACCUCUCGGUGCCUGACGAUGACCUUUAAGUCCCCUCUUGGACCAUCUCCGUAUCUGACACCUCCUCAAGAUAAGAUCUUCAGCAGAAGCUCCUCUAGGGGAGAGUGUCGCGGUUGGCCCUCUGCGACACAGCAAUCACCCACCACCACCAUAGCAGGAGUGUGACAAUUGCCCACGAGGUGUCAUAACAGCUGCUUCGGUUGUGGCGACAUAAAUAACCAUGGCGACCCGAUGAACUGUCUCCCCAACAAUGCACUCUUCCCCCAGCUGCCUCAUGGCCCAAUGGAAGUCUGCCUGGCUGCCUCUGUUGUGUGGAAGCCCCUCAAUAUGGAGGAAAUCGUACUGUCAGACAGACGACCAAAGACAGGAGAUAACACUGUACAUGAACCAACUGCGCCACAUAGCAUACUUUACACGGACAUUAGCAAGGACCUGAGCCCUAGGACCAUGCCCCAGGACUACCUGACAUGAUGACUCCUUGCUGUCCCCAGUCCACCUGGUCGUGCUGCUGCUCCAGUUUCAACUGUUCUGCCUUAUUAUUAUUCGACCAUGCAUUUAUGAACAUUUGAACAUCUUGGCCAUGUUCUGUUAUAAUCUCCACCCGGCACAGCCAGAAGAGGACUGGCCAUCCCACAUAUGCUCUCUCUAAUUCUCUCUUUCUUUCUCUCUCUCGGAGGACCUGAG
ensembl:lncRNA